ACCCUGGCUGCUAGCUCAGUUGGUAGAGCAUAAGAAUCUUAAUCUCAGGGUCGUGGGUUUGAGCCCCAUGUUGGGCA